ACGCUGGCGGCGUGCCUAAUACAUGCAAGUCGAACGAGAGCGACUGGUGCUUGCACUGGUCAAUCUAGUGGCGAACGGGUGAGUAACACGUGGGUAACCUGCCCAUCAGAGGGGGAUAACAUUCGGAAACGGAUGCUAAAACCGCAUAGGUCUUCGAACCGCAUGGUUUGAAGAGGAAAAGAGGCGCAAGCUUCUGCUGAUGGAUGGACCCGCGGUGCAUUAGCUAGUUGGUGAGGUAACGGCUCACCAAGGCCGUGAUGCAUAGCCGACCUGAGAGGGUGAUCGGCCACAUUGGGACUGAGACACGGCCCAAACUCCUACGGGAGGCAGCAGUAGGGAAUCUUCCGCAAUGGACGCAAGUCUGACGGAGCAACGCCGCGUGAGUGAAGAAGGUUUUCGGAUCGUAAAACUCUGUUGUUAGAGAAGAACAAGUGCUAGAGUAACUGUUAGCGCCUUGACGGUAUCUAACCAGAAAGCCACGGCUAACUACGUGCCAGCAGCCGCGGUAAUACGUAGGUGGCAAGCGUUGUCCGGAUUUAUUGGGCGUAAAGCGAGCGCAGGCGGUUCCUUAAGUCUGAUGUGAAAGCCCCCGGCUCAACCGGGGAGGGUCAUUGGAAACUGGGGAACUUGAGUGCAGAAGAGGAGAGUGGAAUUCCAUGUGUAGCGGUGAAAUGCGUAGAUAUAUGGAGGAACACCAGUGGCGAAGGCGACUCUCUGGUCUGUAACUGACGCUGAGGCUCGAAAGCGUGGGUAGCAAACAGGAUUAGAUACCCUGGUAGUCCACGCCGUAAACGAUGAGUGCUAAGUGUUGGAGGGUUUCCGCCCUUCAGUGCUGCAGUUAACGCAUUAAGCACUCCGCCUGGGGAGUACGACCGCAAGGUUGAAACUCAAAGGAAUUGACGGGGACCCGCACAAGC
rnacentral:rRNA from 1 species